GCGGGGUUGCCCUAGCCUGGUAGGGGGCAGGCCUGCUAAGUCUGUGGCUGGAAACGGCCGCGUGGGUUCAAAUCCCACACCCCGCGCCA
rnacentral:tRNA from 2 species